UACGUAGGGUGCAGGCGUUAAUCGGAAUUACUGGGCGUAAAGCGUGCGCAGGCGGUUUGUUAAGACAGAUGUGAAAUCCCCGGGCUUAACCUGGGAACUGCGUUUCUAACUGGCAGGCUUGAGUGCGGCAGAGGGGGGUGGAAUUCCACGUGUAGCAGUGAAAUGCGUAGAGAUGUGGAGGAACACCGAUGGCGAAGGCAGCCCCCUGGGCUAACACUGACGCUCAUGCACGAAAGCGUGGGGAGCAAACAGG
rnacentral:rRNA from 1 species